UGAGCCAAGUUUAGGGUUUUCUCAAAACCCAAGCAGUAUUGAACUGAAGAGUUUGAUCAUGGCUCAGAUUGAACGCUGGCGGCAGGC
rnacentral:rRNA from 2 species